rnacentral:lncRNA from 1 species
UGCGCCUAAUUGAUGGGGUAGUGGCCUUGGGGAGUUGUGCAAAGACCCUUUAGACUUUAGCUGAAUAGCUCUUGAGUGGUUAUUCUUUCUAAGCUUCAUGAUUUUUUCUUUUCUUCAUUCCUAUAAAUGGCACCAGUCUGUUGCCAUCAAUCCUAUAUGGAUCUAUGAAACAACAAAUAAGGUUCGGAAAGCUCACCAAAUUGGAUCCAACUGAGUCUUAUGAUGCUCAAGUUAGAGAGGGUU